CUCCCCAUCCCAUCCCAUCCCCACGUCCCCAUUCCCAUCCCAUCCCAUCCCACUUCCCCACCCCCUCCCCAUCCCAUCCCAUCCCCCUCCUAUCCCAUCCCCACCUCCCCAUCCCCCCCCCCCCGUCCCCACCCCCCAUCCCACGCCUGGCUGCCUUGCAGGGAAGCAGUUGGUUCACUACACGGCUCAGCCCCUCUUCCUGGUGGAUUCGAGCGCGGUGGACGUGGGCAGCGGAGACCUCCCCAUCUUCUUCGAGUUGGGGGAGGGCUCCUAUUUCACCGACGGGGACGAAUACAACGAAGACCCCACCAUCUCCCUCCUAUCCGGGACUGAGCAACCCAAACCCAAGGACCCCACCGUGUCCUAAAGCCGAGGAUUCAAAGAGAGGAGGAGGAGGAGGAGGAGGAGGGAGGAGGAGGAGGAGGAGGAAGAGGAAGGAUGUGCCCAAAAAGGGACCUCCAGCUCUCCCCCCCCCCCCCCCCCAACAACUUUGCUUCGCACAGACAUUGGCAGCUCUCAGCACCCUCUGGUUCACAUCCGCUACCCCCCGCCCCCCCCCCCCACCUCUCAUUAGCGCGUGUGCUUAACGAGCUGUCUUAAAUCAGCCUUAGAGUCCACCCAGCGCUCCUCUGGGCUGGCACUGAGUGGGGCUGAGGGGUGAAGGAGGACCCCCCCCCCCCCCCUCCCCACCUCUCACCCCCCACUACGACCGCCGUUGGAGGGGGGAGAGGGGAGAGAGGCGACGGCCCCACGGAGUGCAAGAAUGGACCAACGUCUGUGGGGGGGGGGGGGGGAGGGGGGGGUUGGGGGGCACUGAUGGACUGCGUUGGUGGACUGGGAAGCACUGGGCUGGGAAGUGAUGGAGUGGGAAUCGAUGGGCUGGAAGUGGUGAACUGGGCAUCAAUGGGCUGGGAAGAACUGGGCUGGCAUCAAUGGGCUGGCAUUGGUGGACUGGGAAGAACUGGGCUGGGAACUGAUGGACUGGGCAUCCAUGAGCUGGCCAUCAAUGGGCUGGCAGUGGUGGACUGGGAAUCAGUGGGCUGGAAGUGAUAGACUGGGAAGAACUGGGCUGGCAUCGAUGGGCUGGCAGUGGUGGACUGGGCAUCAAUGGGCUGGAAGUGAUGGAGUGGGCAUCCAUGGGUUGGCCAUCAAUGGGCUGGCAUUGGUGGACUGGGCAUCAGUGGGCUGGCAGUGGUGGACUGGGAAGAACUGGGCUGGAAGUGAUGGAGUGGGCAUCCAUGGGCUGGCAGUGGUGAACUGGGAUGAACUGGGCUGGCAUCAAUGGGCUGGCCGUGGUGGACUGGGAAUCAAUGGGCUGGAAGAGAUGGAGUGGGCAUCCAUGGGCUGGCAGUGAUGGAGUGGGAAGAACUGGGCUGGCAUCAGUGGGCUGGAAGUGGUGGACUGGGAAGCACUGCACUGGCAAUGAUGGACUGGGCAUCCAUGGGUUGGCCAUCAAUGGGCUGGAAGUGGUGGACUGGGAAGAACUGGGCUGGCAUCAGUGGGCUGGCAGUGGUGGACUGGGAAGAACUGGGCUGGAAGAGAUGGAGUGGGCAUCCAUGGGCUGGCAGUGGUG
rnacentral:lncRNA from 7 species